GACGAACGCUGGCGGCGUGCCUAAUACAUGCAAGUCGAACGCAGUGGGGACGGGUGAGUAACACGUGGGUAACCUCCCAUCAGAGGGGAUAACACUUGGCAACAGGUGCUAAACCGAUACUGAUGGAUGGACCCGCGGUGCUUUAGCUAGUUGGUGAGGUAACGGCCCACCAAGGCCACGAUGCAUAGCCGCACUGAUAGGUUGAUCGGCCACACUGGGACUGAGACUCGGCCCAGACACCUACGGGAGGCAGCAGUAGGGAAUCUUGUGCAAUGGACGAAAGUCUGAUCGAGAAACGCCGCGUGAGUGAAGAAGGUUUUCGGAUCGGAAAGCUCUGUUGUUAGAGAAGCGGUAUCUAGCCAGAAAGCCACGGCUAACUACGUGCCAGCAGCCGCGGUAAUAC
rnacentral:rRNA from 1 species